rnacentral:rRNA from 1 species
CAGCCGCGGUAAUUCCGUCACGGAGAGUUUUCUAUUGUGUUGCUGUGGUUAAAAAGUUCGUAGUUUGUUUUGCGCCACUGUGAGAAAAUCAAAGCGUUCAUCGCUUGUUACCAGAUCAUCACAGAAUGGCCGUAAGCGGUAUUGGACGUAGUUAAAGGUACUUGCUGGGGACAGGUGAAAUAGGAUGAUCCAGCAAAGACCAACGGUAGCGGAGGCGUUUAACGCAGUCCACGUAUCACGAUCAAGAACUAAAGUCAGGGGAUAGACGACGAUUAGAAACCGUUUUAUUCCUGACCCUAAACGAUGACGCCUAGCUGAUGGGUUCGCACUCAUCUGCUAAGAGAAAUCGGAAGCGUUCGGUCUCCUGGGGGAUUACGCUUGCAAGACUGAAACUUUAAAGUAUUGACGGAGACUUACUACCAGAAAUGGAACUUGCGGCUUAAUUUGACUCAACACGCAAAUCUUACCAGGCCCAGAUGCUUUAAGGAUUGACCGACGAGUGAUCGUUCAUGAUUAGGUAAUUGGUGGUGCAUGGCCGUUUUCAGUCCGUGUCUUAAAAUGUCUGCUUUAUUGCGAUAACGAGCGAGACCUCCGCUAUGACUACGUCAUAGGACAGCUAGCGAUGAGCUAGAGGAAGGUGGAGGCUAUAACAGGUCUGUGAUGCCCUUAGAUAGCCUGGGCUGCACGCGCGUUACAAUGGUGGGUUCACUGUGCUGCUGUUUCGAGAGUAACGGCCACUCACUAAAACUCAUCGUGGUUAGGAUCGGGGGUUGAAAUUGUCCCCCGUGAAUGCGGAAUUU